CGACCUGUUGAUUGUAGCUCUUUCAGGUGUUCUCCUUUUGUUCCUUCUUUACCUACUCCCCCACCACCCUCACCACCGGUGUUCCCCUCUCCACCCCCGACACCGGUUUACUCACCUCCACCGGUGUUCUCGCCUCCGCCACCGGUGCUCUCUUCCCCACCACCACCAUCACCGCCACCGCCAUCUCCUUCGCCUCCACCACCUCCAGUUUACUCCCCUCCUCCACCUCCACCAGUUUACUCACCUCCACCACCCCCUCCUCCCCCACCGCCACCACCACCUGUUUAUUUUCCGCCACCACCUCCACCUUCACCACCACCACCGUCUCCCCCUCCACCCUCACCCCCACCACCUUCUCCAUCACCGCCUCCCCCUCCCUCGCCACCACCACCGGUAUUAUCGCCCCCGCCUCCAGUUUAUUGCGUCCGUUCCCCACCACCGCCACCGCCAAAUUCUCCCCCGCCUCCCAUUUAUUCUCCACCACCACCUCCAGUUCAUUCACCGCCCCCACCAAGUCCUUACUAUAGUUCACCACCGCCCCCGCCGCCACAUCAUUCACCUCCACCACCUCCCCACUCGCCACCCCCGCCUCCACCUAUCUAUCCAUACGCAUCACCGCCACCGCCACCCGUGCAUUCCCCACCACCACCUGUCCAUUCUCCACCACCUCCAUGCAUAGAACCGCCUCCUCCUUCUCCACCACCCCCAUCACCACCUCCAUGCAUAGAACCGCCUCCUCCUCCUUCUCCACCACCAUGUGUAGAAUAUUCGCCACCUCCACCAUCACCACACUCACCACCGCCACCACCAGUUCAUUACUUGCCUCCACCAUCACCAUCACCCCCACCACCACCUGUGUAUGCUUCUCCGCCACCUCCACCAUCUCUGCCUCCCCCAGUUUACUACCAUUCUCCGCCCCCACCCUCACCACCUCCUCCAACCCCAUGUGAAAAUCCUCCACCUACUCCAUCACCACCGCCCCCAAUCAUUUAUGAGAGCCCACCACCUCCAACCCCUGUAUAUGAGGGGCCAUUGCCACCAAUCUUUGGAGUUUCAUACGCUUCUCCACCGCCACCACCCUUCUAUUGAUUCUUUUGAGAAUUUUCCUCCUCUUGACAUUUCCUCAAAGAAACAAAAUUUACAAUUAUAUUAGUGGUCAUGGCCUCUUUUCCCUGUUCUCCAUCAAAACUUCUUCCUCUUUGGGCAAUUCUCGUCGCCGGGUGAGGACUAAUAAGAAGAUUCAAAAUGUCAUAGAGCUUAAUGAAUUAUUGCGGCAAAGGUGCUUCACCAUGGUGGGUAUUAGUUGUUGAAGAAGAAACAGAGAAGAGGCUAAAGAAAGAGGAGGUAAGAGGAGAAAGUCUCUCCAUAUUUAUUUGAAUUGUUAUGGAUAUUUGAGUUGUGAAAUAAAAUGGCAGAGAAAGAUUAGGUUGCAGGAAAGUGUAUGUAUAGGGAUGAAUGGAGACCAUAAGAAGAGUUAGAAGGCAGCAGCACUUCUGCUGCUGCUGGUUUGUUGGUUUAUUGUUAUUAUCUCUGUUAUAUCAUACUUUUAUUUCUUUUGCUUUCCAAUUUAUAGUAUAAUCAUGAACAUUUACUUGUAUUGAUUUUCAGAAUUCAGAUCAUUCCUUCUUCUCCUUUGUGUCUUAAUUUCGCUGCGUGUUUUGAUUGAUGGAGAAGCUCAUGUUUGUGAAUCAAUUUAAUUAUGCUUGGGUGUUUCUAUAUUCGUAUGCUUGUUCAUUUUCCAAAUUACUCAAAACAAGCUUCCAACUCGAUUUAGGAAAUGAGUAUCAGUCACUCUCUCCCUAUAUUUCAUCUCCAUCUGGGGUUUGAUGAUGAUGGGGCUUGAUCUAGCAAAACCCGUGCUUCCCAUGACUGACACCAACAUCAAGUUUCCAGUAUAUGGGGGAAGUCUAUUCAAUAUUUAUUUGGUGGCCAGUGUUUCAAUAUAAAAUGGAAGUGGAAGUUUUGAGUCCUUCACAAUAUUGGUUUGUGAAACUAGUCAUAGAGGCAGGCAGGUCCCCAUUGGAGAUCUUGGUGGGACUUGAACGGCCAUCUCAAGUGCCUUGAUUAUGGGGCCUUUAGAUUGAAUCCCCUCAUGGGACCCUUCUCAUUCGGUUGAUGCAAUUGGGAUUGGUACCAUGUGCCCCCCCCCCCCCCCCCCUCCAAAUUUUAAUUUUGAAAUCAAACCUGUUCACCUCACCCUCACACUUUCCCAUGGGAUUUUGGAAUAUUUUCUCUUAUAGUCUUAUCUCAUCACAUGCAUCUGAUGAAAUUGGCUGAAAACUAUAGUGCUAUUUUUAUGUUGUUGCUUUGCUUGGUUGUGAGGUUCUUUUGAAAAGCAUGCUUUGCCUUUUUUUAGUAUGGGUACAAGAAGAGAACUGGCUGAGUCUAUUCCUUAGAUGAAUCUCAGUUCUCAUCAGAAUCCAUACUUUGAAAUUCCAAUUGGCUACUUGCUCAGGUGAUGUUAUUGCUCCUUUCUUUUGGAAAAAGUCAGUGGGUCAGCUCCAUUCUCUUUCAGUUUGUUCCUCUUUGGAGAUCCCUUAUCAUCAUCAUAUGCCACCAUUUAUUGUCGUUGUUUCCCCUCUCUUUUAAAAGCUAUGUGUUUCCAUAGCCGGCAGGGGAGGGAAAUAAAGUAAGCCAUAAGCCUAUAUGAUCAAAUAUUAGACCAGAACUUCCGCCAUUUUCGGCAUAUAAUCAACGCCACCUGGCCACCACUCACUUAUUUUAACAAAACAUAGUAAACUAGGAACCUUCAACCCUCCACAGCACGAAAAUGUUGCUGCCUCCAUUACCACCACCCACAGCCAUUGCCAUUGUUCUAGAAGCCUAGAACAGCUGCUGCUUAUGGUGGUUCUGCAGUACAGCCAUCCUUUUCCACCUUGCACGCCCACCACCAUCUCCACCUCCACGUCCACAUGGCAUUUCCAAUUGGCCUGUUCAAUUUCCUCUUAGACAAGUUGGAGGCAAGAAAUUCCUUCCAGAUCAUGUUGAGACUGGAGCACCACUUGACUCAUUCUUCUCAACAGACCCUACUGGUCUCUGGCUGGAUUUGGUAUACUUCCUACAUUGCAUGUGACACUGACAGACCCAUAUGCCUUAUUUCUUCACUAGUCAUUUUCUGCCAGAAAACAGUAAAUUUCCUUCUUCCUUGCUUGGAAACUGCAAUACAAGAAUUACCAAAUUGGUCGCUACUCUCCUCCAUAAGUAUGCUUAAUUGGUUAUACUCCAAUGAAUUUUGGAAAAAGCUGCUUCCAGAAUAAUUUCAAUUUCGAAUUCUCAACAGAAAGAGCAAUUCCAAUAUAGCAUCCUUCUUUUUCUUUUCAAUAAUAAGAAAAAAUAAAUAAAAAUACAACAACCAUUUCUUUGAUUGUGGAUAAGUGAAGUUAUCACUGUCCUGGAAAGAACAAUCUAAAAUAGUCCAAUCUAAUUUCGUCCAGCACUUUAGAAAGGGGGAGAGAAUAUCAAAAUGGUGGGGAAAAAUGUCUUAUACAAAAAGGUUAUGACAAAAUUGCAUCAUUGGGUUGGGGGCACCAUACCACCCACCCUAAUAAUAACAAUUAAUUAUUAUCAUCCAUUAUAAUAAAUAAAAAACUUCUUUAUUAAAUGCCCAAUAAAUUUCAACACACACAACAUUAUGAUGUGAAAUGUCCUACAACAAGGAAAGUGGUUCGAGUCCUCCUCUAGUAAUACUCCAUGGAUUAUAUUUGUAAAGCAUUUUUCUGUCAUUUUCCAAGCCUUUAAGCUUUGCAAAUGCCCUUUUUUUGUCUUUUUUAUUUUUAUUUUUGCAAUUUAGUCAAAUUUUAGCAUUAGACCAUACCCUUGUCACAAUUAAUAUUUUCCAAGCCUAACUAAAAACUUAGAAGAAAACUUUGUCCACUUUGUCAUCUUCUACCCUUCAUCAUCCAAAGGAUGGUGAUGUAAAAUAAAUAGAAGUGGGCCCAAAAUUGAGGACCACCACAUGGGGUGUUAGGGCUUUUCACACCAUAUAUCAUGUAGAUUUUAAUGUAAUGAGUUGGUUGAGUCCACUUUCAUUACUAUAAAUGAGGACAUAACUUUCAUUUAUUAAGACCCUCAAUUGACAGCCUGUUAGUAGGUCUAAUAUUUUAAUGCCAUUUCAUAAAGUGAUGCUCCUCAAAUCCAUCCCAUUACCACCUUUUUCAUCUAAACUUAACCUUAACAAUAUCAUAGACUCUCUCUCCACCCAACCCUCUUCCCUCUCAAAUAUACAAUCCAUGAGAUUAGGCUGCUUAAGACACUUAGAUUAUUGUAGAAUAAUUAAUCCAAACAGAUGGGCAAUGUUUAAUAUGUAUUGACUCUUAGAUAUAAAUCAAAGGUCGCUAUAGUUGGUUACAGCAAAUUCGAGUAUUAGGUCAUUGCUCCAUCAGCCUUCGAGCUGGCACUGUCGCCUACCAAUGUUCCCCUGUGUCAUAUGCCUAACUUUUAGGCGUUCCAACAUUUAUUUUCCCAUGUGAUUUCCAAAUUAUCAUUUAUACCUUAACUUCCAAUCUUCUUUGAGAAAAAUAAAACAAAAUAUUUAGGAUUUUGCAAAAACACAAUCUCGACAAUAACCUUUGACCAUUCAGGUAUUCCCUUUUAAUGAUAUGGGUAUUACCUUCGAUUGACGACAGUAUAAAAUUUGAAUUAUUUUUACAUAAGUGUAUGAAAACUCAUUUUUCUUUAUUUUUUAAUAUAAUUUUCAUGGAUUGGAGGGGCACCCAAGGAUUUAAUGCUCUAACCGUUUGAGACCAAUUUUAGAUUGAUAUAAAUACAAAAUUAUGGUAGUAGGUUUACAUUAAUGUUAAGGAGAUGGGAAACUGUUGUGUCAUUCAUAUAAGGAAACACAACCGUUGUAUUAAUGAAUGCAUUUCCUUCCUAGUCAUAAAAUGGUUAGCAUCAAACUAUGUCAUUAUCCUUUUUUUUCUUUUUCUUUUUUUAAGGAUAAAUUACACUAAACAUUUGGUGGGGACGGAGUAAUUGGAGAUUAUUAUUCUAAUUAUUUUUUUAGUAUCAAAUUAAUGAAAUGGUUAGUUAUAAGCAUCCAUAUAAAUUGGUACUAGGAAUUAUAUAAUUAUAUUUGAAUUAAUAAUUGAAAUUAUAUAAAUGUAUAAUUUAAUGUAAUAAAAUUGAAUAAUGAUAUUUAUAAAUCAUAUAUAAUAUUAAAUAUAUUAACAAUUAAUAUUAUUACUAAAAAGAAGUUAAUGUAAAUCAAUUAUAAAAUGAGUCCCCAAUGGUCACCAGUUCCAAUUCCCUCCGAACCACUGGAAAUUAACUUCAAGCCCCGUGGAAUUAGUCAUUAAAAUAAAAGGUAAAAAAAUUUUAAAAUAAAAUAAAAUAAUUUCAAAAGUGUUCAUAAAGAAUAAUUCCACCCCACCUCCCUUUUUGAUAUCGAUUAGAGUUAGUUUAGUAAUGUUUUUGAAAAAUAUUUUUGAUCAAAAAUGUGUUUUUUUUAAAAUAAGAAUAAUAAAAAUAAGUUAAUAUUUAGGAAAUAAUUUUACAAAUUAUUUUUAAUUUUGAACAAUUAUUUAUAAUGUUUUUUUAAAAGAAAUAAUUGUUAAUCAAUUCUCUUUAAAACAUUAUUAGAAAAAAAACGUUUUUAACACCCUCCAAGUUGCUGUGAAAGAAACGACGUCGUUUCUUCUCUCCGUUGAUUAUCAAACGACGUCGUUUGCAAGUGUUCUUACACCAUGAAAUAUGCAACAAAAAAAAAAAAGGUAAUGAAUAAUUUGAUUGGUUAGACAUUAUCCUAGAAUUUUGUAGGGCACAUGCGCCUUUUUCAGCUUUGAUUUGAUUGAUCAGCCACGUUGAUACUAAGUAAUUGGGGGGCCUUUCACAUGGGUUCGGCUGUGUGGCUAUUACUUCCCCACUUAUUUUGGCUCUACAUGCCCUCUUUGCUUUUAAUUACCUACUUUAUCUCAUAAUCUUCUACAUUUUUAUUAUUAUUAUUACUUCUUUUAAACACUUAUUAUUAUUAUUCUAGUAAAAUAUUUUGAAGUUUAAAUAUAAUUUAAUAUUAUUUAUAAAAUAAUUUUAAAAUUAAUUCACUUAGAUUAUAUUUGAUUUUCAAAAAAUACUACAAAAAGAAAAAAAAUUAUGAAAAAUUAUUUUAUUAUGUUAAAUUGUAAUAUAAAAACUUUAAUUAAAAUUACAUAUUUAAAUAUUAUUUCAUCUUAUAAGAGAAAUAAAUUUGGAAUAAUAUAAAAAUAAUAAUUUAUUCACUUAAAAUAUUUUUUAUUUUUUAUUUUAUUUUUUCUUUUCCUUUUUUUUAUUUCCUUUUUUUUUCCCCACCACAUAUUACCUCAAAUUUUUGGAUAAUGGAACAUAGCCAAAGUUAAAAGAUGAGCAACAGGAGCUUAAAGAAAUAUUAGAAUCGAGGAACUGGCAUUGAACAUAUUGUGGGCUAGCUUUGGAUGAGAAAUGGGCCGGUUGGACGACAUAUGCUCAAAGCCCAAUUAGUCCUCCAGGCUUUGUCAUCUUGCUUGGCCCAUCUUAAAAGGAUAAGAGGGUCGGCCCAAUUCAGUCGUAAUUUGGGCCAAGAAGGAUUUUCGCAUGUGCGCUCCGAGUAACGAGAUUUAAAUGAAUACUCUUAUAUUAUGUUUGAUUCCAAUAAAAUAUUAAGCAGAAAAAGGUGUUAAAAAAAUGAUUUUUUUUUUAAUAUUCAAUUUCAUCAUGAAAAAUAUACAUAUAAAAAAUUAAAUGUAAUUAAAAUAAAUUAAAAUUUAUAUAUUUUAAAAUUAUUUAAUUUUUAUAUAAAAGAAAUAAAAUAAAUAAAAAUGAGUCUAUACUAGCCUAUAAAAAUAACUUAUUUAUUUUAAAUUUAGUUUUUAUUUUAUUUUUGUUUUUACUAUUUACAAUUUUAAAAAACCACACCUAGCCUUAAUAUUGAAAUAAUUAAAUCACAUAAGCAUCUUUAAUGGGGUUAUUUGAGAUCUCAUCGACCACUUUAUGGGCUAUAUAUAUUUAACUUGGAACUUGAUGGAUUCCAAUACCUCAGUGUGUUGGUGCUUCAACCGAAUAUGGACUCCCUCCACUUAAAUAAGAGUACACUAGUGCUCCUACAAAACAACUCCCACCAAUAGAUCAUUGGGAAAGCCUCCAACACUAAAGUUAGUUUCUCCUUUUUAUAAGUACUUUUUUUUUUUCAAUAUUUUCAAAUUUGGACGUUAACUAAAUUGGAAAACUUAUCACGGUUCAUUAAUCGAAUCAUCGAUCGAACUGAUGACAUUAUAAACAUAUAAUUUAUAUAUUAUUUAAAAAUUAAAAUUUUAUUUGAAAAUCAUGAAACUAGAUUCAAAUUAGAAAUUUUAAUUUUAAUUUAAAAUUAGAAAUCUUAAAAUUUAUUUUUAAAUCAAUACCCUAUUUUAAAAUAAAAAAUUUAUUUAAAACUAUAUUUAAAUUAAAAUGACAAGUUUUAAAAAUCAUAAAAUUAAAAAAUAAUAAAUAUAAAAUAAAAUAAAAUAAAUAAUAAUGGAGAUGAAUAUGGUAAAUAAAAAUAAAAAUAAGAAUCUGGAAAAGGAAGAGGGAAGAGGUGCCACUGAAAGAGAAAACGAUAAGGAGAGCAUCAUGACAACGACGCAUAAGGAUGGCAACAGGGCGGGUUCGAGAUGGGUCGCUCCCAUCCCAACCCCGCCCCGUUUAUUUGAAACAAUUCUCAUCCCCGUCCCAUUUAAAAAAUUAAACAGGGUGGGACGGGACAGGGCGGGGGUAUGAUAAAUUUAACUUUUUUUUUAAUUUUAAUUUUUUAAAAAGAAAAUUACUUUUAAAUUUUUUAAUUAUAUUAAAAUAAAUAUAUUUUAUAAAUAAUUAAAUUAUUAUAUUUUUUAUAACUUAUUUUAUUAAAAAUAUUUUUUAUUAUCUAUAUAUUUAAAAUAAUAAAAUAAAAAUUAAAUUAUUUUAAUUUUAAAUUUUAAAUUAAAUUUAAUUAAAAUUUUAAUUUUAUAUAUAAUCGGGACUAGGCGGGCGGGUGGGGCAAUAUCUGAACCUGCCUUGGGUUUUAAAAAAAAUUCUCAAACUCGUUCAUUAAAAUUAAACCCCCGUCUCAUUAGGGGUGGAGUGGGGCGGGGCGGGGCGGGGCGGGUACCCGAAAAGACUUAUCCCAUUGUCAUCCCUAAUGGCGCAGGGGGUAUUGGGCGGGGGGGAGGGGGGCAAAGAUUGUUGGUGCUUUAUGUGGUGGGAGGGAUUGGUUUGGUUAGGGAAGGGGGGGCUCGUCGACGUCGUUUUGAUGCUGUAAAAAGAAAAAAAAAAUGGUUAAAUCGGCUAGUUUUUAAAACCAUGAUUUUUUCAAUAGUUUGUUCAACAAUUUAGGAAGUGAGUUUCAUUGCAAGAUUACCUUUAUUAGGGUUGACAAAUAUGAUGAGGCUUAUCACUUACUAAUCGAAUAAAAAAUUUAUUAGAUUAGUAAAGGUCGUUUACACCUUUUUACCAUUUGGCAACUAACAUAUAUGGCAUGUUUAGUCACUUAAAAAGUGACAUCAACAUUCAACAACCUAUUUUUACUUUAGCAAAACCAAUAACUUUGAAUUAGGAUGUCCAAGUCGCUAAUACCAAACAAAAAAGGAAGAACCAUAUUUUCUUAUUGCAUUCAAAGCUAAUCAUUUUUAUGUCAUCUUGUGAUUCACCUUUGGUUUCGAUCCUCAACGAUAAAGCUAGAAGAGAUGAGCACUAGCUCCAAAGUUAGCAUAAGAAAAAGGGGGUCAUUGACAUGGAAGAUCCUCAGAUUGGUACGAAUAAUUGAACAUAUAUAUACCAACAACCAAUGGCAAGAUGAUUCAUUUUCUACAAAUUUGAAAAACAACUUUUCCACUAUUAUUGGGAGCAUUUUGGUGUCGUUGUUGUCCUAGACCAUUUGCUAGCUCUCGCUGUUGUUGUCCUCGAUUGUUGGGCCCAUUUGGAUUCCAUUGCCGAGUGCUUUGUCCUCUGCAAGAGUGGAUGAUAUCAUGAUAUGAGAAUUUAACCAGCCACGCCCACCAUCGCCACAUCUAUUUCACUCACCAUCACGUUAACUAAGGAAGGCUGAAGCAUACGCAAGGUACGUCUUCUCCUUCGCUCUUUGUGAAGCUAGAGUAUGCAUGUAUCCUUGAAGAGCCCAAACAAGUUGGCUAAAUGAAGGAGCUAGUGAUAUGGAAUCUUGAAAAAAAUGUGAACACAUCAUGGGAAAAGAGAUAUUUGAUGGGUGGUGCUUAAUCAACCAUUCUUAAGCCCGACAAAAACUACUUAAAAUAUUCGAUAAGACAUCAUUGGAAAAGAGAAGAUACGAGGAACUUAUUUACAUUUAUGUGAAUUUCAUACGACCACCAGUUUUUAUAGAUCUUUUUUCCUAUUAUAUUCUUUGUUAGCUAUAGUCAAAUGCAUGACAAAAAUGAUGGGGAUAAAGAACCAACUUGUUUAAUCCUUAACCACUAGCAAGGUUUUCAUAGGAGAUCAAUUAAAAGAAAACUCAAAUCAAAUUAAAAAGAUACAAAUCAAAUUCUAUCAAAUAGGCUUUUUUUUUUUUUUUUUUAUGAAAGGAGACUACGAAAUAUAAUACCUACAAAUACAAUUGAAAAAUGAGUCACAGUAAUUUUCAAAACUAAAUUUUCUAACAUUGUAAAGGGAAUUUGACCAUCAAAUGAUUGAAUCUAGAUUACAAAUAUCUUUUUUUGUUAAACAAUCUGUUGUUGUAUUUGUUUCCCUAUAAAUGUGAUGAUAAUCAUAGAUCCUAAAAUAACUUCUAAAUAUCUUUCAUUAAUAACAUAAUAGAACUAUGAAUAUUAUUCUUUUUAUUAUUACAAUCUAUAAUUAUUUUUGAGUUACCCUCAAUCUCUAGGUUUAAGAACUCAUUGUUUUUUAUAACUGAUAUGUCAUCUCUUAAGGUCAUAUAUUCUGCAAUAAUUAUUGAAGCAUUACUUAUAUGUCUAUUCACAACCAUUUGUAUGAUACCAUUAGUGUCUCUAAUAACUCAUCCUGAAGCACUUUUAUUCUCUAUCCUUGAACCAUCAAAUAGUUAUUUAUUACAAUUAUAUAUUAUGCACUUUAACACCCUCUUUUACUUACAACCCCACUUUAACAUCCUCCUUUGUAUGCAACCUCGUGCUCACAUGUGGUCCAAAUAUGCAAAUGAGGAAAACGAAUAUGCAAUGAAACUCAAAUAUAUGAUCUCCCAUCAAACGAAAUUAUGAUGUGAUAUUAAAUUACUAAUUUUCUUAAAAGUUUAAAUGAACAAUUUUAAAAGGAUUGGUAAUUCAACAUUAAGGUGGUGUUUGUUUUUUUACUUAAUUCUAAAUAGAACUUUAAUGUUUAAUAGUGUUAAAUAUUAGGCUGUUUGUUUUUGUAGUAUUUUAUUUCUAUUAAGUAUUAAAAAAUAAAAAAAAUCAAUAUGUUAUUUUUUCUAUUUAGAAAAAGUUAUUGUAGACCCCCAUUUAGGCAUGGAUCACUUUUUCUCUCUUUGUUUUUGCAGAUCACAUUUUUUAGCCAGGUGUCACUAUCCCAGCGGGCCACGUGUCACAUCCUUAGUGGCCAUAAGGAAUCAACCUCGCUUUUUUAAACUGCAAUAGGACUUUGACACGUGGAGGAACUUUCUGGAAGGGGGUCCCACAGGCCGUUAGGGGGCGCGGAUGAGAGAGAAGGAAAGGUGGCUGCAGAAGGAGUGGUGCAGGAAAGGUGGCUGCUGCAGAGAUCGUUGGAGGUGACAGCAUGGUAAAGGGACAGAGGAGGUGGUGAAAAGAGAGAGGAGAGAAGAAAAAAGGAGAGGAGUUUUUCUGAGGGUUCGGGAGGAAAGGAGUAUGGUGGGAACUUGAAGAGAAAGCUAAGAACAGAGGAGGUGGUGAAAAAAGGGAGGAGGGAAGAAAAAAAGCGGAGGAGUUUUUCUGAGGGUUCGGGAGGAAAUGAGUAUGGUGGGAACUUGAAGAGGAAGCUAAGAACAGAGGAGCGUGGAGUUGUUAGGGAGUCCAGGACACAGAGCUGAGAAGUGAGAUUUCCAGGUAUGACCAUUUGUUUUUUUUUUUGUAUAUUUUCUAUUUUUUUUCAGACUGUCCAGGUCUGAUUCUCAGUGAUUUUUCGUUUCUGCCUGUUGGGUUGUUCUAUUUUGGUGAUUACUGAUUAAAUAUUGGAAGAGUUUGUUGUGUUUUAUGUUCUAUUCUAACGAGUAUUUUUUUCCAUCUUAACUCACUGGAUGUUGGACCCAUGGAUGAAAUGAUGAAAUGGAUUCGAUAUGCUAGUUAAAGUCUUCAUGUUCUUCUUCUUGUUGCUAUCCUGUUAUCUCUUUGUUUUCUUUUCCUCUCUGAGUGCAUACUCAAGGCUCCAAGGUCUCAACUGCUUUCCGUGAUGAUGAGAACAGGCCUUUUCAGUUUUCUCCAGGCUUUCACAAUCAGCAAAUACCCUAGGUCGCAUACUACCAAACAUAUUCGUCGGCUAGACGUGGAGGCACAUCUGCUUGUGGCCUGCCCAUUGUUUUUAUGUCCAUGCACAUGUCUUCACUCUGCAUGACCCCUAUCUCUAUUCUCAUGCAAGCGUGUCGUCAUCUCAUCCCCAUGUUUUUUUUCUUAUCCACCAUACCCAUCGUUCAUCUAUCCACCUCUCUCUCUAGGUCGUCAUACUCAUUCCCUCACCCAAGCUUCCAUAUCCAUACAACCCAUACCCAUCCAGAAUUCUGUCCGCCGACAUCCCACCUUCUCCGGAUGUCUCACAUCCGGAAUUCUAUCCGUCGACAUCCCACCUUCUCUGGAUGUCUCACAUCCGGAAUUCUAUUCGGCCGACGCCCCACCUCCUCCGGAUGUCUCACAUCCGGAAUUCUGUCCGGCCGACGUCCCCAUUCUCCGGAUGUCUCACAUUCGGAAUUCUAUCCGGCCGACGUCCCCCUUCUCCGGAUGUCUCACAUCCGGAAUUCUGUCCGGCCGACGUCCCCCAUUCUCCGGAUGUCUCACAUCCGGAAUUCUGUCCGACCGACGUUCCGCUUUCUCUGGAUAUCUCACAUCCGACGCCUGACGCCGGAUGGGAGAGGAAGGCAAUUCAACUUCCCCAGACAGCUUGGCUCGUCAGCCACUCGCGAUUCGCCAGAUCCAUUUCCGCCCGCAAUCUUCUGCUCCUCUUGAUUUUAAUAGGCAUGAAUUUUUUUCAUAAUUCUGGAAUAAUGGAAUCUGUUAUAUUAAUUCAUGCAAAACAAAUGGGUUUUGGUGGGAACCCGACAUAUAUGACUUUAUAAUUGAUUGAUUGAUUGAUUUAGUUGCCAUGCAUGAUUGUCUCCAUUAUGCCCUAUGACAUGCUUGAAAUUAUUCUUUAAUUGUGCACUAACCUCACUUCUUGAUAGCGCAUUGUGGCUCGUCACCCAGGUACGUAUCUGUUCCCAUUUUGGUAUUUCUAUAUGCAUAUUUUGAUUUUCAUAUGUGCAUGAUAGUUCUGGGUAUUCACUGUUUUACUCGUCCAUUGUCAUGAUUGCUUCAUUUCAUUAGUAAAGACCUGACUUUAGGGACUUAGAAGGGUGCUACGGUCUUUACCAUACCUUCCCGAUAAGUAACCUGACCCUCGAACCCGAUUCGGUUUUUCGCAAACCGCCUUUUCCAAAAUAAGAAGUCACACUUAGGGUUUUUCUUUCUUAUUUUGUUUACUCUUUUAAAACUAAAACAAAAAUAAGUGGCGACUCCAAGUCAUUUUUCCUAAUCAAUAAAAUCAUUUUUCAAAUCAAAAUCGAGCUCGUCAUCGAGUGGAAAACGCAUUGAGCCGAAAUGCAGGGUCCACAGUUACAUAUUUUGGUUUUUUUUCUAUUUAGUAAAAAGUUUAUAAUAAUAAAAAAAAAAACAAACAACCUAAAUUCUGAAAACAAAUUGUUUUUAGCAAAAAGCCAAAAAAACAAACAUCACCUAAAUCUUUUUCAUUCAUGAAAGAAAAAGAAAUAAGUCUUGAGAAAAUCCAUUUUUCAUGUAAUGAUAAUAAUUUAUUAAAAUUAGGUAAAGCUCAAAUCUCUUCAAAACUUCAAGAUUGCAUUCAAUAUUUCAAAAUAUGAUUAAAAAUAGAAGUCAAUUAUAAUACCACAUAAAAAAAAAAAUCAAAAUCUUAACAAACAUGAGUUUUAAUUUUUAUGAGAAAUAAUUUUUUAUUUUUAUUAUUUAUUUUUACACCCGUUUAUAUUGAAGGUAGAAAGAUGUCGCAACAACACAAGCACUUCAAAAUUCAUGGAAAGACUCCACUUGGCUCCCUUCCAAAUGUAGUAUUGAAGCAACAAAUAUCAACCUCAAUUCUUAUCCAAUUCAAUCAUUGUUUAGAUUGAAAAUUUUCCAUUUAUUUUUUAUUUUAUUUUUUUUACCUGCUAAAAUUAAAACUCGAACAACAUUUUGAAACAAAAACAUGUAUGAUAAAAAUAAGAAAAAACAAAUAUUAUGUUAUGUUUUACAAGUGUUUUAAAAAAUAGUUUUGAAAAAUAAUUUUUAAGAAUAUAUUUAUUUUUAAACUGUUUUUUAAUGUUUAGUAAAAUAAAUGUUUGUUGAGUAACCUAAAAUAUUUUAACCUAUUUUUUAUAUUUUAAAUAUAAAUUUUAUAUUUAGUGUUUUAUUUUUAAUCAUUUUUUAUAUUUGUAUAAUCACUUUUUUAAAACAGUCCUUAAAAAAUAAUUGAAAAUAACCAAAAGAUAUUUGUCUGAAAACAUUUUGGGCAUAUUUGGUAACUAUUUACGAUAAUAGUUUUCUUUUCUUUAGAAUAAAAAAACAAGAAAACAAGUUUGAUUACCAAAAUUGUUUUAUAUUUUUUAUUAUUAAGAAUAAAAAAUAUGGUGUUUUUAAAAAAACAUCUUUUAAUUAUUUUUUAUUAUUUUUACUUGUCUUUUAGAGCUGUUUUAAAAUAUAAUUAUACACACUUGUAAAAUGAUUAAAAAUAAAGCACUAAACAUAAAAAUUAUUUUUUAAAAUAUUAAAAACAUUUUAAAUUACUAGAUAGACUUUUGUAUUACAAAACAUCUUAAAAUAAUUUUUGAAAAUAGUUACCAAACAAACACUUUGCUUUUCCAUUUUUUUUAUUACUAAAUACGUUUUUAAAUAAUUUUCGAAAUAGUUAUCAAAUAGACGGUGUGUUUUUCAUUUUUUUUUAUUACUAAAUGUGUUUUAAAUAAUUUUUGAAAAUAAUUAUCAAAAGACACUUUAUUUUUUAUUUAUUUUUAAUUAUUAAAUGUGUUUUUAUGUUUAUGUUCGAAAAAAAGGGAAAAAUUUUAAAAAUAGUUGUCAAACAAGGCUAAAGGUAAUAAAAGGAGUGUUAUCCAUGUGAUUGUUCAUAUAAGUUGUGGAAAGUGUAUGAUAAAUUAUUAAAUUUUAAAUCAUUCAGGCAUAAAAGAACAUGAGAGCAUGAAAUUUGAAUAGGCAUAUCCUAUUGAUCUCGUUUUUUAGUAGGCACUAAAUCCUAGUGCAGCGGAUCCAAAAAUGCUGGUAGGUGGAAUCCAUGAUCCAUAAAGCCUAAAAUUACUAGCAUGAUUGAUGACGUGUCAUCCCAUAAUUGGGCCCCUAGGAAUCUAAUACAGUUUAAAACUUUGAUCUUAGCGCCUAACGGCUACUUUAUUGACGUUACGUGACUUGCAUCAACUGACUUUCAGUUUAUCUUAUCGUCCAACUGGCCACCACGUGUUCCCAACUAAUUAACACCAUCUCCCCCUUUUAAAAAUGUUAAAUUAUUCAUAUUUAUUAAACAUCUACACUUCAAUUAAAUAAUUAAAAGUUUAAGCACAAUUUAAAUAGAAUUUAUUCUAACUUAAACUUAUUUAUUCAAAUUUAAUGAUUAUUUUAAUCCAACUUUGGUUCUUUAAGUCAAAAGUCAAGCAGUUUAUAAGUGUUAUUUUGGGCAUUAUUUUAUUUUUUAAUAUUUUUAAUAUUAAAAAAAAACACAUCAUUUCCAUUUUAUUAAUAUUCAAGUUCUUUUUAAAAAUAUUUAGGUUAUAUUUGAUAAAAACUAAGGGAAGGAAAAUAAAAAAAUAAAUUUAAAUUUAAUAAUUUAUUUUUUUAUGUUUUUUCAAAUUCAUUUCCCUUAUUUCACUUUAUUAUAACAAGAUUAACUAAUUUAAAAAUAUAUAAAUUUUAAAUUAAUUUUAAUUAUAUUUUAUUUUCUUUUAUAUUUUUUUUUAUAGUGAAACCAAGUAUCAAAAAAAUCAUUUUCUUCAAUAAUUUUUUUCUUUCCCUAAUAUUUUUCGGAACUAGACAUAACCUUAGUGAUACUAAAAAGAGAGAAAAGUGUUGGGCAAUCACGUGAUAAGAAAUAAAAUUUACACAAAUAAUCUAUCACAUUUUUUUUUUUGAGAAAAAAUAAAUUUUUGAGGAUUUGUUUUGAAAUUUGGAUAAUUUUAAAGCAUAUUUUUAUUAUUUUUAUUUAAUUUAUGGGAAUUUUUUAAAAAAUAAUUGUGAAGAUAUGCAAAUGAUUACAAUUUAAAUAUUAUGAAUAAAAAUUGUUUUUAAAAAAAUAUUCGAAAUUAGGAAAAAUUGAAUAAUGGUACAAAUAUAAAAAAAAUUUUGAUUAAAACAAAAGUAUUAUGAAUAAAAAAUUAUUUAAAAAAAUAUUGAAAUGCAGAAAAUUGAUUGUGGACAUUUUAAAAUUUUAAACAAAUUUUUCUGUAAUUGAUUUGUCCGAAAAUAUAUGGGACCACGGAUGUUUUGUGUAAUUACUUGUCGUAGUGCUUCUAUUUAUUUAGAUGUGAUCCAAGCAAGUUCAAGUGUUUGAUGAGACUAUCUACUAAAAAGAAUAUGAUUAUCUUGAUAAAAUAUUCCCUUCAUUCUUCCUCUUUUGUUUCAAGUGCUUGAAGAGCGUAUCUACCGAAACAAAUAUGACUACCUUGAAUAUUCCCUUCAUUCUUCCUCUAUAUUAUUUCAAGUGCUUGAAAAGCAUAUUUACUGAAACGAAUACGAUUACCUUGAUAAAAUUUUCCCUUCAUUCUUCCUCUAUGUUGUUUCAACUGCUUGAAGUGCAUACCGAAACGAAUACGAUUACUUUGAUCAAAUAUUCUCCUCAUUUUUCCUUACGGAAUCUGAUUCCUUUGGGGUUAUGGAUGGGUAUUUUUCAAAUUCCAUUUCUACUCUAAAAUCAAACAUGAGAGCUUCUUCUCAUCCAACUCCUUAUGAAUGAAAUGAUUUAAAAAAAAACAAAAACAAAUUUGUUCUAAAAACCAAGAAUUGUUUUUUAAAACUAAUCUCAAAAAUUAUUUUUUGAAAACGUUUCCAAACAUGCACUAAAAUAAAUGUAUUAUUAAAAUAUGUUUGGUUACCAAAAAUUUUGAGAAAAAAAUGUAAGGAAAAAAAAAUAGAGUGGAAAAAUAGAAGGAAAUAAAAAUAAAGAAAAAUGAAUAAUGAGUUUAAACUCCAUAAAUUAUUUUUACAUGUUUAUUCAAACUCGUUUUAUUUAUUUCCCUCUAUUAUAUAAAGAUUAAAUAAUUAAAAUAUAUAUAUAAAUUCUUGAUCAAAUUUAAUUAUACUUAAUUUUCUUUUAUAUUUUUAUGAUGAAAUCAAAUAUAAAAAAAAUAAUUUCUCAACAUUUUUUUCUUUUCUUAAUACUUCAACCAAACAUGGUCUUAAAAUAUAAGAAUAUUUCCCAAUUUACUAAUUUGAAAAUAUGAAGAUGAAAUCUAAAAAUGUUAAUAGUGGAAGUUUGUGGAUCAAAUUAAAAUAAAAGAAAGAAUGUUAAUGGAAAUGAAUGGGCAUCUUUCUCAUGCGGAAGAAGCCACUCAUUUGCUUAAAAGAGGCCUGCCCAAUGCGAGGCAAGCAACCACUGCCAGUUACGACAAGGGAUUUGUCUUUUCAUGAUUUUUACGUUGGAUUAAAACCCUUUUACGUGGAGUGAAACAUCAUUCUACCUUCCGUGGUUGGCAUCCACUCUCCAACAAUUCAAGCGAUAUCAUCAUUGUACAAGUAUAACCCACUAAAGUGAAAUCAUCAUGGUAAAAAUAUAAAUUAAGAAAAAAAAAACCAAAUUUAACAUCAUGUUUUUUACCUUUCAAAUUAAUAAUAAUAAUAAUAAUAAUAAUAACAAUAAUAAUAAUAAUAGUAAUAAUUUCAAUAUAAAAUAUAAAAACUCUUAACCACUUCCAUUAAAUAAUUAUUUUUAAGUAUCGAAAAAUUAUCAGAAAUCAACUAAUAUCACGUACAAUUUUCAAAUCAUAUUAUUUGUAUCUCAAUUUCAUUUUUUCAGUAUCUUCAUUCAACGACCUAAAUCUUAUUAUGCAUAUUAAAAAUCCAACUUUAAAAUUUGAUCGGUACCAUUAAACACUAAACUUCAAUUCAAACUACUUUACGUAGUUUCACUUGCAUAUUUUUGUAAUAAUAAAUUUCAUGUAAAAAAUUAUUUUUGUUUAAUAUCCUUAAAAAUUACUUUAAUUACAAGAUAAAGGAUGUUUAAUGGACACCCAAAAGUCCCAAGAAAUAAGAAUGAAAAUUUUAUUUAAUUUUUUUUUACCGUUGGUGAUUCAUUUAAAGUGAAAUUAAAAUAAAAAUUUACAUUUUUUUUUGGAAAAUCAAAAUACAAUGAUACUAUGAUACAAUUUUCAUGGGAAUAAUUUUUUUAUUUAUAUCUUUAUUUUUAAUAAGCGAUUCAAAUACAAUAUUCCUUUUUUCUAUGUUCUAAAUAUAUAUUUGAUGCUAAUAAUAUUUUUUUUUUUAAUCUAAUAAAAAAAGGAGAAUGAUUUGCAGGCAUGAAGUGCACAUAUCAUAUUGUCUAAGAAGAGGAGAAUAUGCAUGGCUCAUGAUGACUGUUACGCAUGUAGUUAUUAUUAUUAUUACUAUUAUUAUAUUUUUAUAAUAAUUGCUUAAAAAAAUUCUAAAUAUAAUUAAUAAAAAAAAUUAAAGCUAUGAAUCGAAAUUGAAAAUUUUAUUUAACAUGAAAGGUAGGAUCUGUGGCGGAAGCAGAAAGCAAACGGCGGGAAAAAAGAAAGAAGAAAAAGAAAGCUCCAAAGCAAUCUCCGUUGGACUCAAUUCAAGGAAAAAUAAAAAUAAAAAUAAAAGAAAGACAAAAAGCAAAAGCAAAGAGAGAGAGCGCUACAUCAAAUCUCUGUUUCUCCUGUGAGUUGCUCGAACAAGCCGUGUCCGUACAGAUCUCGGACUGGUUCUUUAUCAGGUAUUUGCAUUUAUUUUGACCUUUUUUUUUUGUUGGUAUUGAAUGCGAGAAUCUUUGUGUUCUGUGUUCUGUUUCUUGAUAGUGAUUUGUGUGAAGAGAUUGCUGUAUUUGUUGAUUGCUUUGAUGUUGUUGGCGAGGUGGAUGAUUGGUUUGUAUGGUGAAGGUUGGGCCGGAAUGAAUGUGUAUUUUGUUUGUUAGUUUACAGUCUUGUUCAUGAAUUGAGUUUUGGUUGUAGAUUAUUAGAAGCCUGUGAAUGUCUGAUUUCUGUCUUUCUUCGUUUGGCUGAUGGGAAAAUGGAAGAAAAUGAUGGAGAUUGGCCUUGGAUUUUUGAGUUUCGAAUUUUUUCAGUAUUUGGAAUCCAACAAAGGAAAGCCUAAUAAAACUACGUUUGAUUUUGAGUAGUUCUGUUUUCUUCUAUUAUACCACAGUUUUAUUAUUUUGUUUCGUUUAUUUGCCUCUAUUUUUCCCGGAAAACAAACAGGGUAAAAUAUGUAGCUUCUCUUCUUCUAUGCAAAAUCAAUAAUUGGAUUGCUGUACUGUAUUGAUCUAACACCAGUGGAAAAAUUGGUUGGAGUUGUGUGCACCUCAAGGAAGGAAGUUAACCCGUAUACAGAGCCAACACGCUUAAGAGUAGUACAAGCGUUAUGGAACCUUUUUCGCAUUAAAGCGAAUUUUGGAACUUUUGAAUGCCUUGAUCAAAUUCAAAUCUCUGUUUAUGCGUAUGUGCAUGUGUGUGCAAAUAAAGGAGUCACCCAUCAAAAGAUUGCACCAAAAACUUGAUAAGCACUAAACAAUCCAAAUAGCAAUGGCGUGCGUGAGUGCUUGCUCUGGACAAUCAUGCCUCAACGGUUCAGAUAAAUCCAUGAAAGUAGGAGAAUAUGCCCAUCUGUAUCAGACAAUGCCUUGUCGUGCAUUGCACGUAUGUACUCUCCCACGAGAUUCUCUGAUAACUGAAGAUGGCUCUUUUGGGGAAUGGUUUCUUUCUGAAAGCUUUUUAGGUCCAACAACUCUACGGGACUUGUUAGUGCUACUAUCACUGUUAUUUGUAGGAAUGAAAGACCUCAUCAUGACCCUAGAAACCCAGCUUGUAGAAUUUGCCUGGUGUAUCAAGGAAGCAAACCGAAUACCAUUUCUUAACAAAAAUAGAUCUUUUAAAGGAAAUUUUAGAUUGAAUACAGGGAGAGCCAUGAUCGAAAGACUUGGCUCUCAACAAGAGUUGAGCUUAAAAAAUUGGGAUUAUUGAGAUUUUGUUGUGUAGGCCUUAGAAAACAGGAUUUAGUCAAGUCCAACCCUGAAGCCAUGCAUUAAGCUUACUUAUUCAUUUUUCAUUUUAUUUUCCCCAUUUCCACAGUGUGGGUUCCAUGACAGGUACUGCCACUGAGGAAAGAUAUUUGUGAUAUGACCUUAUGAUUCGUCAAAAACAUGUCACCAUAUAUAUGUCUUUGUUUUUUAGUUCUGUGCUGCAGAGGUGGGAUCUGGUAACACUUCCUCAUUGAUGUUUGGUAUGGUUUUUCCUAAGUUCCAAAGUUUGCAGUACAUAGAACUCCCAUGCUAAUGAUCAUUUUUGUCAGCAAUGCAGAUAAAGAGAAUCUGGUGAAAUAGAACCUGUCUUCGCCUCACACCAUUUAUGCUCUCUGUGAUGAGGAGUGUUGCCAACAUUCAGGUAUAAAUGGAGAGUGGUGCAAGCAGUGGCAAUGGGCGACAUCCUGAAGGCAUGAAGGAAUCCUGGUUUAGCCAAUUCCGGAACAGUCCAAACCCUUGGAUGGCUAGAUAUGUAUAUGGUUUGAUGUUCCUCAUUACUAAUCUACUAGCAUGGGCCGUUCGGGAUUAUGGCCGUGGUGCCCUGACAGAGAUGGAGAGUAAGAUUUAUCUGAUUCUUUAAUGUCUUGCAGUUUAUAACUUAGUCUGGUGUUUUUAACAACUUCAAAUAAAGGCAUGAAUGCUAAUAGACUCUAAUUUUUAUAGAAAUUUUUUAAAGGUAUAUAAACCAUGUUUUUGUUUCAUGAUUACAAGCCUUGACUUGCCUCCAAGAGGAAGUGAGCUCUUCAUUUGUCAACCAAUUUUUUCAUUCUUCAGGGCACGCCCUGUCUUCCAUGAAAAGUUAACCUUUUUGUUUUGCGUUGCUCCAUAAUAGGUGUUAUUUAUGCUUGAUAUGAAAUAUCCCUGUAGUGUUUAAGCUUUAUCGAGUCAUAUAUGGAUUUUUAUAGGAAUAAAGAAAAGUAAAAACGUGCUUAAUACAUGUGUGAGGCUGAUGGGUCCUUCUGAAAUUCCAUUUGCAAGAGUUUUCAACUUCUGUUACCAUCUGACAUAAUCAUUGCUCUUGUUAUAGAUAGAAUUUAGAAAAACUUGUGUUUGUAGCAAAAUGUGAUGGCGUUUGGACAAGCUGUUAAAUGGCCCCAGACUAAACUCCUUUUCAUCUGCUUUCUGUUUACAUAAAAUAGACAUCUAAAAUGGGUUAUCAGUGAUCAUUUUCCUGGCCUUUAAAAGAUACACCCAGUGGGUUUAGAUUUGGAUUGAACCAGAUGAUUACAUUGUUUUGACAGUCAACCAACCCGGUUUUCAGACUCAUAAAUAACCUGUUUCCAGAUUAUUUUUUUCAAUUAUACCAUUAAAAUAUAGAUGUCAAUCUUACAAUUAAUAUAAGCUGCUAAUACAUUUUUAGCAUGAAUGCAGGACUACAAGGGUGCAAGGGUGUGCGAGAUUGUUUGGGAGCAGAAGGAGUUCUGCGCGUUAGCCUGGGAUGUUUUGUAUCCUUUCAACAAUAAGAUCUACAUGACUACUUGUCUGACAGUUUUGAGGUUUUACAAUUAAAUGGCACAGGCAAUGAGCAGAAUCCCAGAUCAAAGAUCUUCUCUAUAUUUUUUUUCAGAGUAACUUGACUGAAGCACAUUUUCUCUGUAGAAGCAAGAAAUCGGAAAUUCUGCGAAUUGCUCCUAUCCAGAGCAGAUGGAAGCAAUUUGCACACGAAGGAUCUGGGGAUCCUCAAAACCCAGAUAUCAGCAAACCAGAAUUCCAAAUGAAAAGUGUCAGAAUUAAUGUAUUAUCUGAUAAUUGUUCUCAUCUUGCUUGGUAAAAGUGCGUAAAUCACACCUAAUUUUAAAGAGAAGAGUUUGAAACCCCUAUUUCUAGAAAGAAUAAAUUCAAACCGUCUUAUCACUGAUUUUGCUGGAAUGUUAGUCCAAGUUUGCAAUCUAGAACCGAAGUCAUAGGACAUCCCUUGAUCUAUACUGACUGUUUAUUUAAAAGGACUCAAUAAUUAAUGAAUACAUUUGCUCAAAGUAGCUUCAUCUUCCAUUUUAUUUGAUCAGAAUGUGAGCCUUAAUACUAUAUCAGACUUUCUAUUUCAUAAUGUUUCUUUCAACAGCUGGUACAUCCAAGUUGCACAAGCCUAGAGAAUUGUGGCAUUCUGGUUGGUGGUCUGCAAAGAUUAUCUUGUGGGUUGCCUUAAUGAUGCUCCCCUUCUUGGUUCCUUCUGCUUUUAUUCAGCUCUAUGGUUAGUUGACUGCAGUCCUUGAACAAGAUUGCAAUUGUUGUUUUUCUCUUAUCAUUUCAUGUACAUGAUCUUAAACUCGUGUUGGCUUUACAUUUAUUACUUUCAUGCCUCUGAUGCAAUAAUUUUUGGCAGGGGAGAUUGCACAUUUCGGUGCCGGGUAUCAUUACUUCCUGUUAUAAAUUCCUGUCACAGACCAUGUACAAUCUUUUUAGACGUGGUUGUCGUAGAAGUGAAAAUUAUAAGCUUACCUUUCAAGUUCAGUUACAGAAAUUGCUGGGGCUGUGUUUGUGAUAUCUUUCUUUGAAAAUUUAUUACAGGGUCUUUCUCUUAAUUCAGCUAAUAAGCAUAAUCAGCUUCAUUAAAUGGCUGAAUGAUUGUUGUCACUCUGGCAAAUAUGCAGACAGAUGGUAAAAUCCUCCUUAUUCCAACAGAUGCUAAUUCAAAUCAUCUUUUUGUUCUAUUAAAGCCAUAUUGAUUUCAUUAAGACAUUAUAUAUCAAGAUAGUCCCCUUCUUAACAUGAAAUUUCCAAUGUUAAAGGGGGCUCGGAAAAGCUUUCAACAUGGAUAACUUACAAUAAGAUUUACCUUGCAGCCGUAUCCAUGUAAUGUUACUUGCAACUACUGCAUAUGUCAUAUGCAUAAUGGGGAUCAUCUUGAUGUACAUUUGGUACGUACCAGAGCCGUCUUGCCUCCUUAACAUUUUCUUCAUCACCUGGACACUAGUGCUCCUCCAGCUCAUGACUAGUGUCUCUCUCCACCCAAAGGUAAGUUGUAAUUUUCACCAUCCUUUUCACUCUGACAUGGCGACAUAAAUUUGUUAUAGAAUUGUUCUUUUUUCCUGAAACAGGUAGAUGAAAGUUUCUUGACUCCAGGGCUUAUGGGCCUGUAUGUUGUGUUCCUCUGCUGGUGUGCUAUUAGAAGGUAUGAUUUCUAAUUUCUAUUAUUGUAAUCAAAUUUACUGCUUGAUGUUUUUAAAACUGAAUUUCUUACCAAUAUCAGCUUUCCAAUAUAACAUGGUUGGAAAAUAAAAUCUUUCUUUAGUUGCACAUAAACCUUUUGCUCGACUUCUCCAAAUGAUACUAAUAUAAAAAAAUAAAUAGGCAAAAAAGGGAAAAAAGAAAAGAAAAGAUAUGCUGGUGCUAUCAUAUUUGUACUUAUAUCAUAUCUUCUUAGGGACGAAAGCUUAGAUUUAUAUAAUACUUUGCUUCCUUGUACCAACCCAAGAGAGAUCCGCACCAAAUUCAUGUAGUCUAUGUGUUGUCUCAGAAUCUAAAUCCAUGCAUCCACUUGCUCAAAAGAAGCCCAUUCAUUGUAGCUGAAUAGUUACGGUUCCUCUAAAUCAACAAUUAGGUAUCACACAAGCCUGAACAGAACAAUAAAUUUGAGAAACUAAUAGGUCUAAACAAAUAGAACUUGCUUUUGUGAUUACUUUUAUCAGGGCUUCUAGCUGCCUCAACUUUUUCUUUAACUAGUGUCCAUUAUACAUCUUUGUGCUGACAGUGAACCACCAGAGGACAGAUGCAACCAGAAGGUGGAAUCAGCGACCAAAGCAGAUUGGCUUACCAUCAUAGUAAGAUUUGAGAUCUCAGAAAUGAAUUAAGAAUUUUAAAGUACUAAUUAAAUUUCCAAACAAACAUGAAGUCAUCAAAGUCAUGACAGUAUUGUGUGUAAUAAUGCCUCAACCUUCAUUGCAGCCUAGAAGGCUAGAACAUAUUCUUUCCCAAUUUAAUCUAUGGCCAUGCUAAUAUUGUUGACAGGCACUCACAUUGUCUCUAAGUAUCCCUUAUUUCUAAAUGGAAACCAUCUCAAAGUUAUCAUCCUUCAACAUGUUAUUGUACAACAUUAUGCUCAUAGCUUAUCCCAUUGCUAGUAUGUAGGAACUGAUACCUCAUCAUGAAUCCAAACACAACUUUUUUAAUCAUGGCUGCAGCAGGAAAGAUGUCAAAGCUUUUAUUGCACAAUUUCCAUUUUUUUGCCUUGCAUAACUAUAGAUCUCAUUUGGUGACAGAGCUUUAUUGUUGCGCUGCUUGCCAUGGUCAUUGCAACAUUUUCAACAGGCAUUGAUUCCAAAUGCUUUCAGGUAUAUUACACUCAACUACUUUUAUUUGGGUAUCACACUUUUUACCAAACUGUCUUCUGAAAACAACUGUUUCAGUUCAGGAAGGAUGACACACAAGCCGAAGAUGAUGUUCCCUAUGGUUAUGGCUUCUUCCACUUUGUUUUUGCCACCGGAGCCAUGUAUUUUUCAAUGCUAUUGAUUGGUUGGAAUACUCAUCAUUCCAUAAGAAAGUAAGUCUCCAUAUCUCUCAAAAUACUUCCAUUUGUUUUGUACUUUUUAUAGGACACUUGAAAUUAAGAUCUGCCAAAAUGGAUAGUUAAAGCAACCCCUCCAAAAGAAUGUAACUAAAGAUUUUCUCAACCUUUUCCUUGAGGAAUUUGCACUACCAAUUUUCAACUGAUUGGAUUGGGGUCAAGGUUUCCUGGAGUUGGUUUUUGAGUUGAACUUCUCAUGAGCAUAAUCAUUGAUGCCUUCAUAUCCAAAACUUUUUUCUUUAUUGAAUUAUCAGUCCUUGCAACCAACUAUACAGCACACUAGACACUGAUGUAUAACGACAGGUUUAAUCAUGCUGAAUAGAUAGAAAUGUCAGUCUUAGGUGAAAUAAAACUGUAAUAGAACUCAGUUUCACUUAGCAAAUUCCCUUGUCUGCUUGUUUCUCAACAGAAAUUCAAUUAUGGUUAAGUUCCUAAAGGAUGGCCUUUGCUCCAAGCACCUCUGCUCAGCUGACCACCAAUGGAGUGGCCUUCUGAUUAUGCUCUAUGUGAUUAUCUUUGAGUUCCAGAGCAGGACCAGCCUAUUUAUGUUGAAAACCAGGACUAAUGUUUCUUCUCUUAUAGACUUUAAAGUGAUUUCAAGGAGGGCAUAUACCAAUCUUAUCACAUAAUUCAUCUAGAAAUAGAAUUCUUUUAUGACUAAAGUGUGCUAUCGGCCAAUAAAUCUUAACAAUCACCAUUAUGACAUCAAGUAUGUUUUUUUCUGAGAAGCAGUAAAAAAAAAUAAUUCUACCACCCUUUUGUAAGAAAAUAAUUUAACUUCUUUGCAGGUGGACAAUUGAUGUUGGCUGGACGAGUACUUGGGUUAGAAUAGUGAACGAAUGGCUGGCAGCCUGUGUAUACCGUAAGUAUCUCAGGAAUAGGAUUGUAUUAUGGUCAUUUUGAUUACUUGAUAUCUCUUAGUUAUGUAACAAUUAAACCAGCUAACAAUAUGACCUUGCAGUAUGGAUGCUUGUGGCUCCGAUCAUAUGGAAAAGCAGACAAACAGGCGAAUCUACAUGACCAUUUCAAAAUAUCUUUAGUACCCAAUUCAUUCGAUAGUUCUUGUGGCAGUCCUCUUCCUCGAGCAGAUGGUGGAAGAAGAGGCCGCGUCUGCACACGCACAAGAAUUUUAGCAGCAGCAACUAGACCUUUGGUGACCUGAUUCAUUUCAUUUCUAAAUGAAACAAAAUAUAUAGUCCUCCAAGCCCAGCAUCAGUUAAACAAAAGAAAGAAAGAAAGUAUAUCCAGUUCUCUAAAUUUUCCAUUAAUUGCAGCAUACCAUCUGUAGAUAUAUUUACGAGCAUGGCAGGGCGAAGAUUUUGUGAUUUCAUAACCAUCAAUGGAAUAACAGUUUCUGGGUUGAACUAAUAUUCAAUUGUGCACUCUACCUGGUACGGCCAUUGAUGUUUCUUCAAGGUCCACUGCUUAGAUUUAAACGUUUGAUUCAUAAUUCAAAUGUGUGAUUUUGCCUCUUAUACUUUUCAGCUCGACAUGUGGUUGCCUAAACAAUGCGUGUUUUUUAUUAUCUUCCAAUACCUCUCCUCUUGUUUUUGGAACUUUAGCUUUGCCUGAGGCAAAAGGUUAUAAGAAGUGGCAUCUCUUUUGGCUUGCAGAAGAAAAAGCGUAGCUCACAAAAUAUGAGAACUGGAAGUAUCUUUUUCAGAAGAGAGAAAAUGUUUUUAUGGAGAUUAAUUUUCAGAUUUUUUUUUUUUUAAACUUCAAAAUUUACUUUUUCUGCACGUUCUAAAAACAGACAUGACUCAGAACGCAGCUGACAGGAAAAUUAAUCAGAAAAAUUAUUAAUCUUUUUUACUAAAUCUGUAAAGAUAAAAUUUUUAAAAAUUAUGGAUAAACAAAAAAAAAAUACUAAUAAUAAUAAGAGGGAGAAAAAUAAAAGAGCAUCACAGAUUCCGGGACACACCUGUUUGCAGUGAAACACCUAAUUCCCCUCCGUUCAGCUGCUGCGGAGAUCAGGAAAGUAAAAGUUUUGUUUUAUAAAGGUAAAUUGCCCCGACAGCUAAGGUAUUGUUUGGUUUUCUAACCUUUUUACUAAAAGUUAUUUGUUUUCAUAUCAUUUGUAUUUUUGCUUUUGGUUUAUUUCAUUAUUUAUUUUUAAAAUUUUUUUAUUGAAUAGAAAAAAUUAAAAUAUUUAAUCUUUUUCUAUUAGAGUAAACAUAAUUAUUUUUUCUUACUUUUUAAUGCUUAAUAAAAAUAAAAUAUUUAAAAGACAAAUAAUUUGAAGCUUAAAUAUCAUUUAGUAUUAUUUUAUUUUAAUUUCUAUUUAGAAUUAAAUAAAAAAUUUAAAAAAACACGACCAAGAAAUGAAAAAUUAGAUUCAAGAUUUUGAUAUUCCAUAUUUUUUCUCGCCUAUAUUCUUUUUGCUUCACCGUGGAAAGAAAGACAAAAAUGUUAAAAAAAGCAUUUGUUUUGUCACUAAAAAGAUGGAAUAAAAUAGACUACAAUUAAAAUUAGUUAAGAUUUUUAAUCUUUAAUUUUUUUAAAAAAUAAUAAUUUAUAAACUUUAAACUUUUUUUCCCUCUAUUUUGUCACUCAAAUAGAAAGGAUGACCCAUUCGAACUACUUCUUCGUACUUAUAAAUUGCGUGCAAGUGUCAAGCGUGGCCUCAAACUACAAGUACAAGCUGCAGAUGUGGGGAAAUGGUUAGGAAAAACCUGUAAAAAAAAAAACCAAAUGACUAAUGCUUGGAAUUUUUCCCUUAUCCCUCGUAAUAUUUUGUCCAAUCUCAACACAAAUAGCUGGGAAUUACCCAAGUUCCGUCAACCGAUUAAGCAACAAAAUCUUCAUUGUUGUUGUUCUUCCUACAUGUAUGAAUCCCAGGUUUAUUACCAAAAUGACCUCUGCAGUAAUGUUUGGUGGGUGAGUAUGUUAGUCACUUCUGUUUUCGGCAACACAUAAACCUAUCAGAACAUGGAAAAAAGCUUGAAAACAUGGCAUAAAGGCUAAAAUCCAAAUACUAUCUUAUUCAAAACAAAAAUCAUAUCAACAUCAAUAUGAAUAGCAUGUAAAGUAUGCUCUACCAAAAGGUAUGCUUCGAAAAAAUUUUAAAAAAGAAAAAAAUAAUUGUGCAGACUCGAAACAAGAACUCGCCAUAACAAUGGAGAGACAUCCCCCUAUGGCAGCAGGCAAAGCACAGAUCACCACAUAGGAAUACCCAUUCCCAAACCUAUGAAAGACAAUGGCUGCCUAAAUAAGACUUGAUUCCCUCAGAGGUGUCCAUCCCUCUUUCAAAUCCCCUCUAUUUUGGCCUACCUUUCUUACAGGAUAAAACUGGUUUUACACGAGAAUAGACAUUUGACUAUUACAGGUUACAGGUAUGGACACACAACUUCAUUUGGCUGCAACAUCUUACUAAAUCUACAAGAACAAUGAACCCAAAAAUUUCCAUCCAACAGAUUACUUAACAGAGAGCAUCAAGAUGAUGCUCACCCUAAAAUGGGGUCCAAAAGGCUUCGGUCUUCAUAUUUAUCCAAAUGGAUUUCCUCCAACAGAAGAAAGCUUAUCUAAGGCAGCAGGUGCAGAGGAUCUUCCACCAAUUAGAUGAUUUGGAUUCAAAGAGCUAAAAGCAGCAUCCUCACUGCCAAAGCUUCCCACUCCUUGAUGACUGCAAAGGAGAUUCAAAAGGCUCAAUAAGUUCCACACAAAGGUAAUACUAAUGCAAAUAUAGAUUAGGCAAACUGAUGCCCAUAAAACUUCGAAAUAAAUAUAAGUUGCUAAUAGAUGAAAUUUAUAAUUCAGUAAUGCAGAACCUUACUAAAAAUGUGGGUAAAAGAAAUCAAAAUUGUAAAAAUGAAAAUGCAGUUACCUGGAAGGUGGAAUGGCACCAGGUACUUGUUGCCCCAUGUAUGCUCCUGACAUUUUUGAAGCAAAAGGCAGAACAUAUAAAUAUCAAAUAAAGCAAGCGAGGGGAAAAAGGUAGGCAAGAAAAAAAUCAUGAUAUGGUUUUACUUGGAGGCAUUCCCGACGCAUAAGGCGGUACUUGUGGAGGCAUUCCCGACACAUAAGGUGGUGCUUGUGGAGGCAUUGCCAAUGGAUAUAAUGAUGACUGGGGUGGUGUCCAUGUUGAUUGAGUACCAGCACUGGAAGAAUGCAGCAAGCCCAUAGAAGGGGGCAUAUUUGGUAGACUCCCUUGCAAGGACGCCAUGGAAGGAAACUAUAUCACCAGGAACAUGUAAAAAGCAUUAGAACAAGAUUUCAUGAUCAACAGCUGAAUUGCUCAAGAACAUGUUUAGCUUAAAGAUCAAAUAUGAGCAAAAAUUUGAUGCUUCAAGAUUUAGAUAACUCAUGCAUCAAGGGCGUUAGUACUCAACAAACGGAACAAAAUAAAAAGUUUUAUUUUUUUAAAAGCACCAAAAUAAGUUACUAUGAGCACCCUUUAGUUUUUAGCAAUACUCAAGUGGGGCAAUCACAAGGCAAAUUCGACAUUUCAUUUUCUGUCAGUGAAAUGCAUGGAUUGAACAUGCAUAAAGGGCAUUGUUAAUUUACUUCUCUUUAACACUAGUUAUAACUGAUCACUUAGUCAAAGUAACACCAAGGAAGACAAGAUCAGAGAUCAAGCACAUAUAUCUAUUUGAAUGAAUUUGAUUCACUUACUGUUGGAGCUUGAGCCGGAGGUGGUUCAUUGUUGAGAUCAAAUGGGUUUGUUGAUUUUGAUGAAUGUGAGAAUGUUGAUGGCAAUGGCUGCAACAACAAACCCCUAUUAUACAGAGCAACUUUUCAUGCAGUAAUCCAAGUAAUUGGUGUGAAUCAAAAUUAAUUCAGUAACAAAAUCAUAUUGGAUUGUGAAAGAUACCGCUGCAGUAUUAUAUUGCAGGUGGAACCCCAUGCCAUGGGGUGGACCAGUUUGCCAACCUGGAACUUGCAUAGAGAUGGGUUGAUAGGUUGCAGCGAAAAGAUCCUGCAGAUGAUUCAUGAUUUACUAUGAGAUACAAAACAGAGAUAACACCAGAAUACAUCCUAGCUGGAGACCAAGAAAGAAUACAUUAC
rnacentral:lncRNA from 1 species